rnacentral:rRNA from 1 species
UGGGGAGCAAACAGGAUUAGAUACCUGGUAGUCCACGCUGUAAACGAUGUCGAUUUGGAGGUUGUUCCCUUGAGGAGUGGCUUCCGGAGCUAACGCGUUAAAUCGACCGCCUGGGGAGUACGGCCGCAAGGUUAAAACUCAAAUGAAUUGACGGGGGCCCGCACAAGCGGUGGAGCAUGUGGUUUAAUUCGAUGCAACGCGAAGAACCUUACCUACUCCUGACAUCCAGAGAAUUUAGCAGAGAUGCUUUAGUGCCUUCGGGAACUCUGAGACAGGUGCUGCAUGGCUGUCGUCAGCUCGUGUUGUGAAAUGUUGGGUUAAGUCCCGCAACGAGCGCAACCCUUAUCCUUUGUUGCCAGCACGUUAUGGUGGGAACUCAAAGGAGACUGCCGGUGAUAAACCGGAGGAAGGUGGGGAUGACGUCAAGUCAUCAUGGCCCUUACGAGUAGGGCUACACACGUGCUACAAUGGCGUAUACAAAGGGAAGCGAAGGUGCGAGCUGGAGCGGAACUCAUAAAGUACGUCGUAGUCCGGAUUGGAGUCUGCAACUCGACUCCAUGAAGUCGGAAUCGCUAGUAAUCGUAGAUCAGAAUGCUACGGUGAAUACGUUCCCGGGCCUUGUACACACCGCCCGUCACACCAUGGGAGUGGGUUGCACCAGAAGUAGAUAGCUUAACCGCGAGGGGGGCGUUUACCACGGUGUGAUUCAUGACUGGGGUGAAGUCGUAACAAGGUAACCA